rnacentral:rRNA from 1 species
UACGGAGGGCGCAAGCGGUGUUCGGAAUCACUGGGCGUAAAGCGCGUGUAGGCGGCUUGGUAAGUCAGGUGUGAAAGCCCGGAGCUCAACUCUGGAACUGCAUUCGAAACUACCUCGCUCGAGUCCCGGAGAGGGUGGUGGAAUUCCCGGUGUAGAGGUGAAAUUCGUAGAUAUCGGGAGGAACACCAGUGGCGAAGGCGGCCACCUGGACGGUGACUGACGCUGAGACGCGAAAGCGUGGGGAGCAAACAGG